CCCUUAGAUGUUCUGGGCUGCACGCGCGCUACACUGAUGCGCUCAACGAGUUUACGACCUUGCCCGGAAGGGUUGGGUAAUCUUUUUAAAACGCAUCGUGAUGGGGAUAGAUUAUUGCAAUUAUUAAUCUUUAACGAGGAAUUCCUAGUAAGCGCGAGUCAUCGGCUCGUGCUGAUUACGUCCCUGCCCUUUGUACACACCGCCCGUCGCUCCUACCGAUUGAAUGAUCCGGUGAAUAAUUCGGACUGCAGCAGUGUUCAGUUCCUGAACGUUGCAGCGGAAAGUUUAGUGAACCUUAUCACUUAGAGGAAGGAGAAGUCGUAACA
rnacentral:rRNA from 1 species